rnacentral:lncRNA from 1 species
AUGGUCAUGCCCAUCCCUCCCUCUCUCAUUCUCUCUUCUUUCCUCCCUCCCUCUGUCCAUCCCUCCUUCUUUCUCUCCUUCCCUCUUUCCCUCUCUCCCCCCAUCUCUCCAUUGCUCUAUUUCUUCCUCCCUUCUUCUCUCCCUCCAUCUAUCUGCCCAUCUAUCCUUCCCCUUCUCCUUCCUUCUCUCCCUCUCUCCUUCCCCCUCCUUCUCUUCCCCUCUUCUUUCUCCAUUCCUCCCUCUCUCCAUCCAUCCCUCCUUCCCUCUCUCUAUUCCUCCUUCCUCCAUUCUCCCAUCCUUUCCUCUCUUCUUCCCUUCAUUUCUUUCCCUCUCUCCCUGUCUCCCUCCCUCCUACCCUCUCACCCUCCCUCCAUCCCUUCCUCCUUCCUUCCCUCUCCAUCUCUCCAUCCCUCCCACCUCUCUCCAUCUCUCAUCCCUCCAUCCUUCCCUCCCUCCUUUACUCCCUCCCUCCCUCCCUCCCUCCCUCCUUCCUUUCUUCCCUCCCCCUGCUUCUCUUCCCACCUCUCCCUCCCUCCAUCUCCAUCUCUCCUUUCCUCCAUCCACCCAUCCUCCAUCCAUCCAUCCAUCCAUCCAUCCAUCCAUCCAUCCAUCCACCCACCCCUCCCUCUAUUCUUUCCUCUCAAUCUUCUUCCCUCUCUCCCUCCAUCCCUCCCUCCCUCUCUCCCUUCAUCCUCUCCCUCCAUCUCUCCAUCCAUCCAUUCCUCUCUCCAUCCCUCCCUCCAUUCAUCCCCACUUCUCUCUGUAUCUCCAUCCUUCUCUCCUUCCCUCCCUCCCCUCCCCCACAUCUCCACCCCUCCUUCCCUACUCCAACCCGUGCCUCAGUUUCCCCACCGCACACACAGCGCCGAGCCCCAUCUUUGUCACUUUGCUCCUUUAUUUGUGGGGCAGGGGGUGGCACCUCGCCGUCCCCUCUCAGUAGCUACGCACUUUGACCUCUUUGCUCUCAGACACCACUUUGCCAUCCACCAUCCUCUGGGUGCUGCGCUGCGUAGUGACCGUCCCCUCUGUCCCCAGAGCAUCCUGCAGACUGUGGGGCAGGGGUGUCCCCGUGUCACACCUAGGGGUGUCCCCACCCCUAUGUGGCCCACCCCUGUUACCCACUNNNNNNNNNNNNNNNNNNNNCACCCGUUACCCACUCCUGUCACCCUCCCCUGGGUCACCCACCCCUAUGUCACCCACACCUGUUACCCACUCCUGUCACCCACCCCUGUGUCACCCAUCCCUAUGUCACCCACCCCUGUGUCACUCAGCCCCAUGCCACCCUUUCCCACUGCUACCCCAAGGAACUUGGAGGGGACAUCGGGGCUGGGGGAAGGAGGGGGCUGGGGUGCCUGGCCACUGGUUGCCACCACUGUCCCUGUGCUGUCCCCAAAUGUCCCAGCAGAUAGGACUCGGAUGUGUGUGUACCCACAGCUCAUCUCUGGUGUGCGUCACCACUGUCCCUUUGCUGUCCCUACAGAAUCCCCACUGGGUGUCACUGCUGUCCCUUUGCUACCCCUAUAG